rnacentral:rRNA from 1 species
UACGUAGGGGGCAAGCGUUGUCCGGAUUUAUUGGGCGUAAAGCGCGUGUAGGCGGCUAGGUAGGUCCGUUGUGAAAACUCGAGGCUCAACCUCGAGACGCCGAUGGAAACCAUCUGGCUAGAGUCCGGAAGAGGAGAGUGGAAUUCCUGGUGUAGCGGUGAAAUGCGCAGAUAUCAGGAAGAACACCGAUGGCGAAGGCAGGUCUCUGGGCCACUACUGACGCUGAGAAGCGAAAGCAUGGGGAGCGAACAGG